rnacentral:rRNA from 1 species
AUUGAACGCUGGCGGCAUGCCUAACACAUGCAAGUCGAACGAGUGGCGGACGGGUGAGUAAUGUCUGGGAAACUGCCUGAUGGAGGGGGAUAACUACUGGAAACGUUAGCUAAUACCGCAUACCAUCGGAUGUGCCCAGAUGGGAUUAGCUAGUAGGUGGGGUAAAGGCUCACCAAGGCGACGAUCCCUAGCUGGUCUGAGAGGCUGACCAGCCAUACGGGGACUGAGACACGGUCCAGACUCCUACGGGAGGCAGCAGUGGGGAAUAUUGCACAAUGGGCGAAAGCCUGAUACAGCCAUGCCGCGUGUAUGAAGAAGGCCUUCGGGUUGUAAAGUACUUUCAGCGGGGAAGCGUUACCCAAAGAAGAAGCACCGGCUAACUCCGUGCCAGCAGCCGCGGUAAUUC